AUUCAGUAGCUAAGUGAAUAACGUGAUGGCGUUUGAAGCAAAAGGUACUGGGUUCGAGUCCCAGAGUGAAU
rnacentral:tRNA from 1 species